rnacentral:sRNA from 2 species
GCCCGUGUUAGGAAAUCUGUUCUUAUACGACAACAAGUCAUGGCCCUUCCCUGCCCCAACGUCAACAAUCAGAGGCUUGUCUGUGGCUGCCCCGUCGAGGAUUUGGCUCUGCACCGGGUACCAGUCAACCCAGUAUUUCCGCGCGCCCAUUGUAUUGCCCAUGAACAUGUUGAAGUCGUUGAGCAGGGAGGGAGAAGACACUAUCCGUUCGAACGUGGUCUGUUUCGUGUUGAAAGCGUAUUGCAUGAGUCCAUCCUUGGGAUCACUGGGGCAGGAAUGGCCUCGUUGGAGGAAGUAAGCUGGGGCACUUUGCAUGGCUGGAACAAUCAAUUGGGAGCUGUAUUAUCGCGCUUUUGUCAGUAAAGAACGGGAAGAUCAAAAGCGGCAAUUUCUUCAGUAGCCAUGGCCUUCGUGACGGGUGUCGCAGUCCAUGUUCUUGAAUCGACUUCCUCAACCAAGUGAACCGCUGAUAGAGGCCGCAAAAUGCGUA